GAUGAACGCUAGCUACAGGCUUAACACAUGCAAGUCGAGGGGCAGCGGGAUUGAAGCUUGCUUCAAUUGCCGGCGACCGGCGCACGGGUGAGUAACGCGUAUCCAACCUUCCGUACACUCAGGGAUAGCCUUUCGAAAGAAAGAUUAAUACCUGAUGGUAUGAUGAGAUUGCAUGAUAUCAUCAUUAAAGAUUUAUCGGUGUACGAUGGGGAUGCGUUCCAUUAGGUAGUAGGCGGGGUAACGGCCCACCUAGCCAACGAUGGAUAGGGGUUCUGAGAGGAAGGUCCCCCACAUUGGAACUGAGACACGGUCCAAACUCCUACGGGAGGCAGCAGUGAGGAAUAUUGGUCAAUGGACGAGAGUCUGAACCAGCCAAGUAGCGUGAAGGAUGGAGGUCCUACGGAUUGUAAACUUCUUUUAUAAGGGAAUAAACCCUCCCACGUGUGGGAGCUUGUAUGUACCUUAUGAAUAAGCAUCGGCUAACUCCGUG
rnacentral:rRNA from 1 species